CUCCCAGCCUACAUCUUUCUCCCGUGCUGGAUGCUUCCUGUCAUCGAACAUCAGACUCCAAUCUUCAGUUUUGAGAUUUAGACUGGCUCUCCUUGCCUCUCAAGCUUGCAGACAGCCUAUUGUGGGACCUUGUGAUCAUGUUGGAAGUUAGACUUUUUGUAAAUCUACUCAUUUAUAUCAAGUUGAAGAGAGAUUUCCCUGAACACAGAAGAAGGAGGGCUUAUGAAGAUUCUUUUUUCUUUAUUUUCUCUUUUGUUUUGGUAAGUGGCCUUAAGGAAUCUAUAAUUCUUCAAAUUCCAUGGAAGAGAAACUUAACUAAAACAUUCAGCAUAUUUCUUCCAGUGAUUUCCCAAGUCAUCUGCUAUUUUGCUAAUAAAUAUCU
rnacentral:lncRNA from 1 species